AAACCAGCACCUCAAGUGGUCAGGAUGAUUAUUGGGCCUAAAGCAUCCGUAGCCGGCUCUGUAAGUUUUCGGUUAAAUCUGUAUGCUCAACAUACAGGCCGCCGGGAAUACUGCAGAGCUAGGGAGUGGGAGAGGUAGACGGUACUCGGGAGGAAGUGGUAAAAUGCUUUGAUCUCUCGAUGACCACCUGUGGCGAAGGCGGUCUACCAGAACACGUCCGACGGUGAGGGAUGAAAGCUGGGGGAGCAAACCGGAUUAGAAACCCGGGUAGUCC
rnacentral:rRNA from 1 species